rnacentral:lncRNA from 1 species
GAGACUAGGCAACAGUGGGAAAAAGAAUUCCGGAGGCUCAGCAAGAGGGAGAGAGCUUGAGAGCUUUUCAAGAGCUUACCAAAACUGUUGCCUUACCCCGUUUUAUAGUAGAAUGCAGUAUGGUCCCGCCAUUAAUGGUGCAGACAACUGGAGAGUUGUCAAAUCACCGGAAGGUUGUCAAAUCAUCGUGGGUUGUCAAGUCAUUGGAAUUAAUCUAUGUCCUUAGCAGGACAAUGUCCCAGGAUGAUCGUACCGCAUGUCCUUGGCAA